GUCAGUAGUCCCGGCGACUCAGGAGGCUGAGGCGAGAAGAUCACUUGAGUCCAGGAGUUCUGGGCUGUAGUGAGCUAUGCUGACUGGGUGUCCACACUAAGUUCACCAUCAAUAUGGUGAACUCCAAGGAGCGGGGAACCACCAGGUUGACUAAGGAGGAGUGAUCCAGCCCAGGUCAGAAAUGGAGUAGGUCAAAACUUCUGUGCUGAUCAGCAGUGGGAUCUCACCUGUGAAUAGCCACUGCACUCCAGCCUGGGCAACAUAACAAGACUCUGUCUCUU
rfam:Nomascus leucogenys chromosome 18, whole genome shotgun sequence.